rnacentral:lncRNA from 1 species
UCCUCAGCCAAUCAGUCUAACACAGUACACCUGGGCAGAGUGGAGGAACACAGGACCAGCAGAUUUGUCUGUGGGUUUGGAGGCUAUCUGCUGUGUGUUACAGCUCUGGCUGGUCAGCAGAACCCAUGGCACCCUCACUCAAAUGUAUUUAAGAACAGUAGCUGCUGGACAUGGUGGAUACAUGGAUUGUGGCACUGCUGAGGAGGAGGUAGCUGAAAGUGCACCCCUGGGGAGAGACACUUCAUGCCAAAUAAGGGGAUGAAUGAUUAUGGAAAAGUCUUCAGGAAGCACCAAAAAACAUGCAGUAAUCUAGAAAAUUCUGUACCAACACCAUAUUUUAUAGGAUCCUGUGCAAUGUUUAUAUGGGAGGUCAGUCAUUACUCUGGCUUUGAAGGUGCUCUUGGACUGGUCCUUAUGUGAACUUGGCUGUCUAUCAGCAGCAUGACUACACAGUUUAGGUAAGCUUUGAAAACUCCUUUAAAGGCUUGCAAAUGGGAAAGGCCUCAUUUCAGCACAUUUUUACCAGUGACAUAAUCUCUUAAUUUUUUUUUUUUUUUUUUUUUUUUUUUUGUACACAGAGCAUUGUGUCAUUUAACAGGUUGAGAAACUCAUUCCCAAAGUAUGUAUGCCUCUGAAUCUAGGAGAGGGUUUAAAAAAAAAAAGUUGUUGCAGCUCAAGCAGCUUUCCUGGGUGUCUCAUUCUUCAGCUGAUCCACAUUCUUUCCCAGUGAGUGAGAACACGAUAAGGCAUUAGAGCCUAUUUAUAACUGGCCGGGAGAGAUACUUGCUUAGAGAUGCAGUACUCAGUAGAGAAAAAACAAAAACAAACAAACAAAAAAACACAACAGAAAAACCCCUGUCCCUAAGAGCUUGCCCUGAACUUUGCUGCCUGGCAUCCUUGCUCUCUGGAGGGCACCAUACAUGACUUGGCCUUUGCAACCAAAAUAAAGCAACGUGUUCAAGACUGCA